AUGAGCGUGAUCUUGGGCCAUCUUAGAAACAUAUAUAGGGUCAACGACGGAACGAACAACGAAACUUUACGACAACUUUUUCGUACACGUUCACUUGCAUCACAUACACAAGUGCUCUCUGAACCAUGCAAUAAGCUCUGGAUCCCGCCUGCUUGCAGAAAUGAAUGGAUCAGAAAGGGGGCUGGGUUCUAUUUCCGGGCCGGGCAGGAGGUGAAGGCCAGAAGAAGAAGAGAAGUGCGCCUUCCCGGUAAGGAAGAGGAUAAAAAGGUGCUUGGAGGAAGGGCGGGCAGCAGGUACCACGAGCCCUCUGUCCCACACAUCUAUCAAGAAGCAAGUGUAGUUCACCGGUUCCACCGAAUGCUCCUAUCUCUCGGCAAAGAUCGUGUGAGUGUGCAUUCCCCUUGUUUUACAGUGCACUCGCUUUGUAUCUCCGACACACAAGGAAGGACGCGGUGGGAAGAAAGCUGCCCUAGCCUCUGUCCGUCGAUCAUUCCGCUGGCAUCUUGCAUUCAUGCCUCCUCGUCGCCAUAUUCAAUAUAUCACUUAGUCAUAUCUGCCUCGCAGCGGGUCAGCACGUCCGAAAGAAAGGGAGGGAGGACUUCUUCAGUGACUCCGCGAUCGCCCUCUAAACGAUCAAAAUAA
rnacentral:rRNA from 1 species